rnacentral:rRNA from 1 species
AGGGCACCACCAGGAGUGGAGCCUGCGGCUUAAUUUGACUCAACACGGGAAAACUCACCCGGCCCGGACACCGUAAGGAUUGACAGAUUGAGAGCUCUUUCUUGAUUCGGUGGUUGGUGGUGCAUGGCCGUUCUUAGUUGGUGGAGCGAUUUGUCUGGUUUAUUCCGAUAACGAACGAGACUCUGGCCUACUAAAUAGAGACAGGAUUAUUACUGUCCUGGGUUCUUCUUUAGAGGGACAAGUGGUUUUCAGCCACACGAAAUUGAGCAAUAACAGGUCUGUGAUGCCCUUUAGAUGUCCCGGGGCUGGCACGCGCGCUAACACUGAAAGGAAUCAGCGUGCUAAAACCCAUUGUCGAAAAGGCAUUUGUUAAACCCAAUCCAAAAUUCCUUACUGGAUUGGGAUCGGGAAUUGCAAUUAUUUCCCUCUGGAACGGGGAAUUCCAGGUAGGGGGGGUAUAGGUAAGCCGAUAGGGUUCUGGCCUUGACCACCCGCCGUCCUGCCCGGAAUGACUUUCAA